rnacentral:rRNA from 1 species
AUGAACGCUAGCUACAGGCUUAACACAUGCAAGUCGAGGGGCAGCAUGGUCUUAGCUUGCUAAGGCCGAUGGCGACCGGCGCACGGGUGAGUAACACGUAUCCAACCUGCCGUCUACUCUUGGACAGCCUUCUGAAAGGAAGAUUAAUACAAGAUGGCAUCAUGAGUCCGCAUGUUCACAUGAUUAAAGGUAUUCCGGUAGACGAUGGGGAUGCGUUCCAUUAGAUAGUAGGCGGGGUAACGGCCCACCUAGUCUUCGAUGGAUAGGGGUUCUGAGAGGAAGGUCCCCCACAUUGGAACUGAGACACGGUCCAAACUCCUACGGGAGGCAGCAGUGAGGAAUAUUGGUCAAUGGGCGAGAGCCUGAACCAGCCAAGUAGCGUGAAGGAUGACUGCCCUAUGGGUUGUAAACUUCUUUUAUAAAGGAAUAAAGUCGGGUAUGGAUACCCGUUUGCAUGUACUUUAUGAAUAAGGAUCGGCUAACUCCGUGCCAGCAGCCGCGGUAAUACGGAGGAUCCGAGCGUUAUCCGGAUUUAUUGGGUUUAAAGGGAGCGUAGAUGGAUGUUUAAGUCAGUUGUGAAAGUUUGCGGCUCAACCGUAAAAUUGCAGUUGAUACUGGAUAUCUUGAGUGCAGUUGAGGCAGGCGGAAUUCGUGGUGUAGCGGUGAAAUGCUUAGAUAUCACGAAGAACUCCGAUUGCGAAGGCAGCCUGCUAAGCUGCAACUGACAUUGAGGCUCGAAAGUGUGGGUAUCAAACGGGAUUAGAUACCCUGGUAGUCCACACGGUAAACGAUGAAUACUCGCUGUUUGCGAUAUACGGCAAGCGGCCAAGCGAAAGCGUUAAGUAUUCCACCUGGGGAGUACGCCGGCAACGGUGAAACUCAAAGGAAUUGACGGGGGCCCGCACAAGCGGAGGAACAUGUGGUUUAAUUCGAUGAUACGCGAGGAACCUUACCCGGGCUUGAAUUGCAACUGAAUGAUGUGGAGACAUGUCAGCCGCAAGGCAGUUGUGAAGGUGCUGCAUGGUUGUCGUCAGCUCGUGCCGUGAGGUGUCGGCUUAAGUGCCAUAACGAGCGCAACCCUUGUUGUCAGUUACUAACAGGUUCUGCUGAGGACUCUGACAAGACUGCCAUCGUAAGAUGUGAGGAAGGUGGGGAUGACGUCAAAUCAGCACGGCCCUUACGUCCGGGGCUACACACGUGUUACAAUGGGGGGUACAGAGGGCCGCUACCACGCGAGUGGAUGCCAAUCCCAAAAACCUCUCUCAGUUCGGACUGGAGUCUGCAACCCGACUCCACGAAGCUGGAUUCGCUAGUAAUCGCGCAUCAGCCACGGCGCGGUGAAUACGUUCCCGGGCCUUGUACACACCGCCCGUCAAGCCAUGGGAGCCGGGGGUACCUGAAGUGCGUAACCGCGAGGAGCGCCCUAGGGUAAAACUGGUGACUGGGGCU